AAUGUGACUGAAGUUCAGACGUGUGUCUACCCUUCGCCGAGAGGCAUGGGUAACCCGCUGAACCCCACUUGUGAUAGGGAUUGGGGAUUGCAAUUAUUUCCCAUGAACGAGGAAUUCCCAGUAAGCAUGGGUCAUGAGCUCGUGUUG